UACGUAGGGGGCGAGCGUUGCCCGGAAUCACUGGGCGUAAAGGGCGCGUAGGUGGUUUGAUAAGGGUGUGGUGAAAGCCCGGAGCUCAACUCCGGGUCUGCCGUGCCGACUGUCAAACUCGAGGACUGUAGAGGCAGACGGAAUUCCGGGUGUAGCGGUGGAAUGCGUAGAGAUCCGGAGGAAGACCGGUGGCGAAGGCGGUCUGCUGGGCAGUUUCUGACACUGAGGCGCGACAGCGUGGGGAGCAAACAGG
rnacentral:rRNA from 1 species